UCGGAUCCUGCUCGGAUAGCACCUAUACCUUGUGUGCCAGAGAUCCAUAUCCUCUUGUGGUUCCUUUCUCUUGAAAGACCCCAGCUUAGCAGCAGUAACGCCAUUUUGCAAGGCUGUACUUAAGAUGACUGGUUCAGGGAAAGGUUAGAACACUGAGUACACAGCGGCUGCCAAACAAGAUGUGUUUGGUUGAAGGCCUGGCAACAGGAGGACUGCCGUUGGGCACCUGACAAUGAGAAAAGCCCCGGGAGAGGUCCCACACCCUGGUGGGGGGCCGAGUCAGCCGUUAUGUUCCAAGAAGGUAGCUAAGAAACUUGCCCCCAGGCUGAACCCUUGGGGGGCCGAGUCAGUCCUUAUGUUUCAGGAAGGUAGCUAGGAAACUUGCCCCCGGGCUAAACCCUUGCCAUAUUAGAAUCCACCAAUUAUAUCCCUGUAACCAUGCAUCUGCUUCUGUAUGCUUGCUUCUGCUCCCCAAAAUCCUAUAAAAGCCCAUCCUUGGUUCCAUGGGGUGCGCCAGUCCCCCGAGUGACUGAAGCGCCCGCAGGUGCCUGUGCCUGUGUAUCCCGACAAUAAACCAAAUCCUCUUGCUGAUUGCAUCCUGUGGUGUCUCGGUCUGGUCUUUGGAGUUAGAGGGUCUCCAUCCCGAGGGAAAGUUCUCCCUGAGAGCUUUUCAUUUGGUGCAUUGGCCGGGAAAGGAGAUCCUCCACCCAGGGACCACCGACCACCCACUGGGAGGUAAGCCGGCCGGCGUCUGUCUGUCUGUCUGAUUUUGUCUCGUUCUGCCUUAUUCUGUCUGUUCUGUGAGCGCUCAGCCAGGUCUGUUCUGUGAGCGCUCAGCCAGGUCUGUUCUGUGAGCGCUCAGCCAGGUUGUUUGGAAUUUGGGCGGGACGAAGAAGAAGCUGACGAGCUCGGACUUCUCGCCCCGCAGCCCUGGAAGACGUUCCAAGGGUGUUAGGGGCCCGACUUUUCGGGGCCCAAUCUGGGAGAGGAGAAAGAUCCGGACUAACGGCACCUCUGUCUGUAUUUUUGGCUUUCAGAGGGCCCCGGACCUUUGCCACCUCCAUCUGACUUUUUGCUUUCAGUUUGGUACCAAAGCCGUGCAGCACGCCUGUCUGUUGUUUGUUUGACUGUUGGUGUUGUUUGUUUUCUCUGUGUUCUAAUCUUCCUUAGAACUAACAUGGGACAGUCCCUAACAACGCCCCUAAGUCUCACUCUUGAUCAUUAGAAAGACGUCCACGACCGGGCACACAACCAGUCCGUCGAGGUUAAAAAAGGAAAAUGACAGACUCUCUACACAUCCGAGUGGCCCACUUUCGGAGCGGGAUGGCCAGUGAAUGACACAUUUAAUAAGAUCAUUAUUUUACAGGUUAAAGAUUGGGUCGUCCACGGACAUCCUGACCAGGUUUCUUAUAUUAUCACUUGAGAGAGUCUCGCCUUAACCCCCCCCCCGGGCGGAACCCUUCGUGGACCCAAAUUGGCCUCCCCUCAACCCCCAGUCUGUCCCCUCGGCCCCGCCCGGUCCGCCGGCCACGUCUUCCUCUCUCUACCUUUGUGAAAUCAGAGCCUUCUAAGAAACCUGUCCUCCCGGCAGACCCAAACUCCCCUCUCAUAGAUCUUCUCUCUGACAGGCCCGGCUGAAACGGAGGAGGCAGAGCCGCCGGCCAGAUCAGUUGCCGGGCCACAGUCUGAUAAGGGUUUCUCCCCUGUCGCAGGGAGAUUGCGCAAUAAGCUCGAGGUGAUGCCAGAUUCAACCUCCCAGGCUUUCCCACUUAGACAGGGAACCGGUGGCCAGACCCAAUACUGGCCGUUUUCAGCAGCUGACAUUUACAAUUGGAAACAACACAACCCUUCUUUCUCCAAAGAUCCGGUGACACUCACCGACCUAAUAGAAUCUGUUUUACUUACCCACCAGCCUACUUGGGAUGACUGCCAACAGCUCUUACAGGCCCUCUUAACCUCAGGAAAAAAAAAAAAAAAAACAAAGAGUGUUCCUAGAGGCCAGAAAGCAUGUUCUGGGAGAUGAUGGGCGUCCCACCCAGCUGCCUGAGGACCAAACUGGGAUUUUAAUACAGCUGAAGGUAAGGGACACCUACGCCUUUAUCGCCAGUUGCUUCUAGCGGGUCUCCGAGGGGCUAUACGACGCCCUACUAAUUUGGCUCAGGUAAAACAGGUAUUACAGGAAGCAGGGGAAACUCCCUCCGCCUUUCUAGAGAGACUUAAGGAGGCCUACCGUAUGUACACUCCCUAUGACCCAGAUGACCCAGGACAAAUGACGAGUGUCUCUAUGUCCUUCAUCUGGCAGGCUGCUCCAGAUAUCAGGACUAAGUUACAGAGGUUAGAAAAUUUACAGGGCUAUACAUUACAGGAUUUACUUAAAGAAGCUGAAAAGAUUUUUAAUAAGAGAGAGAAUUGAGUCGAAUCUUGGCCGCCGUAGUUCAGGGCCAAAAAAGGAAGGGAGAUAGGGGGGAGCUCGAAAGGGGCUGAAGCUGGAUAAAGAUCAAUGUGCCUAUUACAAAGAGAAAGGGCACUGGGCCAGAGAGUGCCCCAAGAAGCCUGGUGGACCCCGAAAGCCUCGACCACGAACCUCCCUCUUGGCUCUAGAUAAAGAUUAGGGAAUUCAGGGCCAGGAGCCCCCCCCCUGAGCCCAGGGUAACGCUUAAAGUUGGGGGGCAGCCGGUUACUUUCCUGAUAGACACAGGAGCCCAGCAUUCAGUCCUCACUCAAGCUUCAGGACAACUCAGCGACCGGACGGCCUGGGUACAAAGAGCUACUGGUGAGAAACAAUACCGAUGGACUACGGACCGCCGGGUUCAGCUGGCUACUGGUAAGGUGACCCAUUCCUUCUUACAUGUUCCGGACUGCCCGUACCCUCUGCUGGGCCGUGACCUGCUCACCAAACUAAAAGCACAAAUUCAUUUUGAGGAAGGAGGGGCCCAAAUAACUGGCCCCCACGGAACUCCCCUUCAAGUUCUAACCCUACAACUAGAGGAUGAAUAUAGACUAUAUGAACCGGGACAGGACAAGCCACAAUCCCUAGAAAUAGACACUUGGGUCACGAAUUUUCCACUGGCUUGGGCAGAGACUGGUGGGAUGGGGUUGGCGCUCCAACAGCCCCCCUUAAUUAUACAGUUAAAGGCCACUACAACUCCAGUCUCCAUAAAACAAUACCCCCUGUCACAUAAAGCUUAUCAAGGUAUAAGGCUUCACAUUACGAGGCUUCUAGAUCAAGGCAUCCUAGUCCCCUGCCGGUCGCCUUGGAAUACGCCUCUUCUGCCUGUUAAGAAACCCGGCACUGGAGCUUAUAGGCCAAUACAAGACUUGAGAAAGGUCAACAAGAGGAUAGAAGAUAUUCAUCUGACUGUUCCAAACCCUUACAAUUUGCUCAGUAACUGUUCAUCGAUGAGAAACAGGGGUAUGCUAAAGGGGUCCUAACACAAAGGUUGGGACCCUGGAAACGCCCUGUGGCCUACCUGUCUAAGAAAUUGGACCCUGUGGCCUCCAGCUGGCCACCGUGCCUAAGGAUGGUGGCUGCUAUUGCUGUCCUGAUCAAGGACACUGGAAAAUUGACUUUGGGACAGCCACUCACCAUCCUAACACCCCACGCAGUGGAGGCCUUGGUAAAGCAGCCCCCAGACCGCUGGCUCUCUAAUUCUCACACCAAGCCUUGUUACUGGAUGCAGAACGGGUUCAGUUUGGGCCUGUAGUUGCCCUCAAUCCUGCCACCUUGCUUCCUCUACCAGAGGAGGCAGAACAGCAUGACUGCCUACAAAUCCUCACAGAAGUACAUGGAACCAGGCCGGACCUAUCGGACCAGCCUCUUCAGAAUGCUGACCACACAUGGUACACGGAUGGCAGCAGCUUCUUGGCAGAGGGAGAGCAAAAGGCUGGAGCUGCGGUCACUACGGAGGACAAAGUGAUUUGGGCGAAAGCCCUGCCUGCUGGUACCUCCGCACAACGGGCUGAACUCAUCGCCUUGACUCAGGCGCUCAAGAUGACAAAAGGUAAGAGGCUAAAUAUAUAUACAGACAGUCGUUAUGCCUUUGCCACGGCACACAUCCACGGGGAGAUCUACCAGAGGCGGGAGCUGCUCACAUCUGAGGGUAAAGAUAUUAAAAAUAAGGCUGAAAUUCUGGCCCUCUUAGAAGCCCUAUUCUUGCCCAAAAGACUGAGUACAUUGUCCAGGACACCAGAAAGGGCACAACCCUGAGACACGAGGAAACCGGCUGGCCGAUGCCACGGCGCGAGAAGCGGCCAUGAACAAACAAAUCUUGCCCUUAAAUAGCCCAGACCAACCCACGCCCCCACCAGUGGGACAAACCAGUUGGGUUUAUGCCCAUGAGGACAUAGAGCUCCUAAAAAUGGGGGCCAUCUACCACCCUCAACUAAAACAGUGGGUCUACAAAGGACUUUUGAAUUGAUCUCCUUUUUACAUAAAUUAACCCAUUUGGGGUUUAAGAAGAUGACUAGAUCGGGAAGAGAUAAAUCUGUGUUUUUUUAAAUCGGGACAAAGCGAUACAAAAGGUGACUGAGAGUUACAAAGCGUGCGCUCAGGUUAACCCGGAAAGGACCAUGAUUGGACAAGGAGUUCGUCCUAGGGGACACCGUCCCGACAUCCAUUGAGAAAUUGAUUUUACUGAAAUUAAACCAGGUAUAUAUGGAUACAAGUAUCUCCUAGUGUUUGUAGACACCUUCUCAGGAUGGGUCAAAGCCUUCCCCACGAAGCACGAGACUACAAAAAUGGUCACCAAGAAGCUCCUCGAGGAAAUCUUUCCCAGGUAUGACAUGCCUCAAGCGUUGGGGUCAGACAACGGGCCCGCUUUCGUCUCCCAAGUAAGUCAGUUGGUGGCCAAAUUGCUGGGGAUUGAUUGGAAAUUACAUUGUGCCUAUAGACCCCAGAGUUCAGGUCAGGUAGAACGCAUGAAUAGAACAAUUAAGGAGACUUUAUCCAAACUUACGCUUGCAACUGGCUCAAAGGAUUGGGUGGCCCUCCUUCCCCUAGUUCUAUAUCGGGCCCGGAAUACCCCGGGCCCCCAUGGUCUAACUCCUUUUGAAAUAAUAUAUGGAACACCACCCCCAUUUGUCCAUUUCUUUGAUUCAAACAUUGCUGAUUUUGCUGACAGCCCUUCUCUGAGGGCCCAUUUACAGGCCCUACAGAUUGUGCAGAGAGACGUCUGGAGACCUUUGGCCGCUGCUUACCAGGACAAGCUUGAGCAUCCGGUGGUGCCACACCUGUUCCAGAUUGGAGACACCGUGUGGGUGCACAGACACCAGACCAAGAAUCUCGAGCCACAGUGGAAAGGACCCUACACCGUCCUCCUGACUACCCCGACCGCCCUAAAGGUAGACGGAGUCUCGGCUUAGAUCCACACACCACACGUCAAGACAGUCCGGUCUGAGGAAUUGACUAAUCACAACACUACACCCCAGACAUGGAGAGUUCAGCGCACUCCAAACCCCUUAAAGUUAAAACUCCUACGUGGCUCCUCCUAGCCCUUUUGUGGCCUAGAGUCAGUGGGGAAUAAGCCCCCACCAGACAGAAAUUUCUUGACCAAGUCGAGUGAAAGAUUUCACUCAAAGUUAGCAAAAAAAAAAUGGGGGAAUGAAAGACCCCAGCUUAGCAGCAGUAACGCCAUUUUGCAAGGCUGUACUUAAGAUGACUGGUUCAGGGAAAGGUUAGAACACUGAGUACACAGCGGCUGCCAAACAAGAUGUGUUUGGUUGAAGGCCUGGCAACAGGAGGACUGCCGUUGGGCACCUGACAAUGAGAAAAGCCCCGGGAGAGGUCCCACACCCUGGUGGGGGGCCGAGUCAGCCGUUAUGUUCCAAGAAGGUAGCUAAGAAAUUUGCCCCCAGGCUGAACCCUUGGGGGGCCGAGUCAGUCCUUAUGUUUCAGGAAGGUAGCUAGGAAACUUGCCCCCGGGCUAAACCCUUGCCAUAUUAGAAUCCACCAAUUAUAUCCCUGUAACCAUGCAUCUGCUUCUGUAUGCUUGCUUCUGCUCCCCAAAAUCCUAUAAAAGCCCAUCCUUGGUUCCAUGGGGUGCGCCAGUCCCCCGAGUGACUGAAGCGCCCGCAGGUGCCUGUGCCUGUGUAUCCCGACAAUAAACCAAAUCCUCUUGCUGAUUGCA